rnacentral:rRNA from 1 species
AGAGUUUGAUCAUGGCUCAGAACGAACGCUGGCGGCGUGCUUAACACAUGCAAGUCGAGCGAGAAAGGGGGGGCAACUCCCCGAGUAAAGCGGCGCACGGGUGAGUAACGCGUGGGUAACCUACCCCUCGGCGGGGGAUAACUACUCGAAAGGGUGGCUAAUACCGCAUGAGACCACGGGGUCUUCGGACCUUGAGGCCAAAGGCUGCAUCGGCUUGCCGGUGUAGUCACCAAGGGAUGGGCCCGCGUCCGAUUAGCUAGUUGGCGAGGUAAUGGCUCACCAAGGCUACGAUCGGUAGCUGGUCUGAGAGGAUGAUCAGCCACACUGGAACUGGAACACGGUCCAGACUCCUACGGGAGGCAGCAGUGAGGAAUAUUGCGCAAUGGGGGAAACCCUGACGCAGCAACGCCGCGUGGGUGAAGAAGGCCUUCGGGUCGUAAAGCCCUUUCGGACGGGACGAACGCUCCGCGGGGGACAAGCCGCGGAGCCUGACGGUACCGUAAGAAGAAGCACCGGCUAACUCCGUGCCAGCAGCCGCGGUAAUACGGAGGGUGCAAGCGUUGUUCGGAAUUACUGGGCGUAAAGCGCGUGUAGGCGGCCAGGCAAGUCAGUCGUGAAAGCCCUCGGCUUAACCGGGGAAGUGCGUCUGAUACUGCCUGGCUUGAGUACGGGAGAGGGAGGCGGAAUUCCCAGUGUAGAGGUGAAAUUCGUAGAUAUUGGGAGGAACACCGGUGGCGAAAGCGGCCUCCUGGACCGAUACUGACGCUGAGACGCGAAAGCGUGGNNAGCAAACAGGAUUAGAUACCCUAGUAGUCC